ensembl:lncRNA
GUCUUUGGCUGCAGUAGAGCCAUUAGGAAGCACGCUAAGUGAGCUGCGCCCAGUGGAUGGGAGUUGGAGCAUGGAGAAGUGGAGUAUAGAGCACAAGUGUCUUUUUAUCCAACCCAGCACAGAUAUGUCUACUUGGGAGAUACUCUUCCCAGGGAACGUGUGAAUGAGGUCAAGCUCCAGCGAGAAGCUGAGAAUUGGCUGCACUCAUCCGAGGCCAGAGGCUAGAGAGAUGCUUAUAGCACACAGAGCCUUGCUUUUCCCAACACUGCUACAGCCACUCCAGCACCUUCCAAGUGACAGCAGUGCCUCUUGCCAGUGAAGUGUCACCCUGCCUUAUCACCACCCCUCCAUAGACCACAUAUCUGGACUCCAGGAUUGAGAGACAACGGACUCUGCUGUUUUAAGCCCACAGUUUGUGGCAGAUGGUUACGCAGCCCUAAGGAAACUAACAACCUGACCUGCCCUUCAGGUGCUCCCUGUUGGCACUACUCCCAACCCAGUACACACUCCUAUAUUUUCCUUUUCCGUGUGGUUUUGCAACUGCUCUGUGACUUUGUUGCCUUCCACACUAGACCCCAAGCCCCUGCAAGGUGGGGAUUUUGUCACCUGUGACCUUCUGCCAAGUUCCAGCA